rnacentral:rRNA from 1 species
AUUGAACGCUGGCGGCAUGCCUUACACAUGCAAGUCGAACGGCAGCACGGGAGCAAUCCUGGUGGCGAGUGGCGAACGGGUGAGUAAUAUAUCGGAACGUGCCCGGUCGUGGGGGAUAACGUAGCGAAAGCUACGCUAAUACCGCAUACGAUCUACGGAUGAAAGCGGGGGAUCGCAAGACCUCGCGCGAUUGGAGCGGCCGAUAUCAGAUUAGGUAGUUGGUGAGGUAAAGGCUCACCAAGCCGACGAUCUGUAGCUGGUCUGAGAGGACGACCAGCCACACUGGGACUGAGACACGGCCCAGACUCCUACGGGAGCAGCAGUGGGAAUUUGGGACAAUGGGCGCAAGCCUGAUCCAGCAAUGCCGCGUGCAGGAUGAAGGCC